GCUCCGCUGGAAGCCCGGCCCCAAACUCCUCUUCCGGGGAGGGCGGGCCGUCGUGGCGAGCAAGGUAGGCCCUGGAGUGUGCAACCUGGCUGCGUCCGGGGCUGGAAUUGUACGCUCGCUAGCCGGAAGGCCGGCCACGGAGCCGGUAGCUCGGGGCCAAGCUCCGAUCGCCUUCGACCACGCCCCUUCGCCACCCGCAGCCCUGGGUUCAUUGAAACGACUGCUCGUCGUUCUCCGGUCUUUGUGAGAGUGGGCUGUAGUGUUUUGGCUGCACAGAAGGCUGGUCCUUCGUAUGUAACAGGGUCCACUGAGCUCCUCCCUUGACCAGUCCCCGUACCGGCGCCUCGUGCCAGCUUCUGCUGGAAAAGGUCUUCCAAGUCCAGAAGAGCCAGAGCGUCUUAGGACUUAGGUGGGGAGUAAGCGGUCUGUGACCUUCCGCCGCGUCCUGGAGAGGCCUCUUUGGCCUCAUGGCAGCACCACCGCUGGGCCGUCUGGUGCUGACCCACGUGCUGGUGGCCCUCUUCGGCAUGGGCUCUUGGGCUGCUGUGAAUGGCAUCUGGGUGGAACUACCGGUGGUGGUGAAAGACCUCCCUGAGAGUUGGAGCCUCCCAGCGUACCUCUCUGUGCUUGUGGCGCUGGGGAACCUGGGUCUGCUGGUGGUGACCCUGUGGAGACGGCUGUCCCCGGGCAAGGGCGAGCGGGUCCCCAUCCAGGUGGUGCAGGGGCUGGGCAUAAUAGGCACAGCCCUCCUGGCCCCUCUGUGGCACCACGUGGCCCCAGUGGCCGGGCAGCCCCACUCUGUGGCCUUUCUAACGUUGGCAAUGGUGUUGGCACUAGCCUGCUGUGCUUCUAAUGUCACUUUCCUGCCCUUCCUCAGCCACAUGCCACCUCCCUUCUUACGGUCUUUCUUCCUGGGUCAAGGCCUCAGUGCCCUACUGCCCUGUAUGCUGGCCCUCAUUCAGGGAGUGGGCCGCCUUGAGUGCCUACCUGCCCCUGCCAAUGGCACCUCUGAGCCCAUCUACUUCCCUGAGCGUUUUAGUGCCAGUACCUUCUUUUGGGCACUGACUGCCCUUCUGGUCACUUCAGCUGCCGCCUUCCAGGGUCUCCUGCUGUUACUACCAUCACCAGCAUCUGUACCCACAGGCAGCCCAGUGCAGGGCCUGCAAGUGAGACAACCAGGAGUAGAGGAGGAGGAAGAGGAAGAAGCCUCACCGUUGCAGGAGCCGCCCAACCAGGCAUCACGCACUACUGUCAGCCCAGACACUAAGGCCCAUCAGCUGUUCUCAGCCCGUGGUGCCUGUUUGCUGGGCCUGUUGGCCAUCACCAAUGCACUGACCAAUGGUGUACUCCCUGCUGUGCAGAGCUUUUCCUGCUUGCCUUAUGGGCGCCUGACUUACCACCUGGCAGUGGUGCUGGGCAGCUCUGCCAACCCCCUUGCCUGUUUCUUGGCCAUGGGCAUCCUGUGCAGGUCUCUGGUAGGGCUCUGUGGCUUGUUUCUUCUGGGAAUACUCUUUGGGGCCUACUUGAUAGCACUGGCAGUCCUGAGCCCCUGCCCUCCUCUAGUGGGCACUUCUACAGGCAUGGUCCUUGUGGUGCUGUCAUGGGUGCUGUGUAUGGGCCUGUUCUCAUAUGUCAAGGUGGCGAUCAGCUCCAUGCUACAUGGUGGGGGCCGGCCAGCAUUGCUAGCGGCUGGUGUGACCAUUCAAGUGGGCUCCCUGCUUGGUGCUGUUGCUAUGUUCCCUCCUACCAGCAUCUACCACGUAUUCCACAGCGGACAGGAUUGUGUGGACUUGUGUGGCCACUGAACUUGAGCAGUUUCCAGAAUAAAACAUCUUUAUUCAGUGGGCAGUGAUUAAUCCCAUGAGCACUUCUCCCUGUGGAAGCCAACUGCCUUCCCCAGCAGCUUGCUCUGGCCAAUUCAGCACUGACUGUCUAUCUCCCCACAGAUAGGAUAUCUGCAUUGUCCAGGUGGGACUUGAACUCGUGAGCCUCCUACCUGACUGGGCCUUUGUUUCUUGGCAUCUGCAAGGAGCAUUUCUUCGUUGGGCUUAUCCUGGGCUUGGUGGUACUCAUCUGUGACACAAAGCGCGCAGAGCUGGAGCCACCUGCUAGGAGGAGCACUGGAAAGCCUUUGACCCAGCCGAGGACUGCAGUAUUCCCAGGAGGGUAUCUGAGUUUCUGCCUUCUUGUCUUGUGGGUGGGCAGGAGAGGCCUGUGGGGAACACAUCCUCCCCAAGUAGCAGGACCCUGAGCUGUGAUCAAGAGUGAGUAGCCCAGUGUGAGUACUCAUUCUCACAAAGGAGGUUCCUUCUACUGUAGGACAGAAGAGUGGUUUUCACUCCUGCUGACUGUGUUCCUUCCUGUCAUUGUUUUAGUCUCUGAAUGCUUUUCUGAGCUUGAGAACCUCCAUCAGUAACUUGGCUGCAUGGCCUUGGUAGGACCAGCUGAGCAGGGGCCUCUCAGGUGGCUCAGCCCAGUCCUGGGGAGGGUUAGGGCAGCUCAACAGAGUUGCUUUCCUCUGGAAGGUGGGCAGGUACUGAGGGGGUGAAGGUUGUUGUAAAUUUCAGAAGCUGUGCAAGGUGGGUAAUGGAGAGAGACCCAGAAGGAUGGGGCUGAGGUGCAUGGAAUCAUAGGAUUGCCGAGGAGUUACACUCCAUACCCUCUUCCCUUCUAGCACUCUGCUUCUGUCCACCUGGGCUGCAGGCUGAUGAAGCCCCUCCCAGCUCUUCUUUGACCUCCUUAUCAGAGUAGAUAAUCAGAGGUUCCUGUAGCCUCCACCCUGGCACCACAAGUACAGUGUUCAAGGGUGGGCCACAGAGAAGUGAGAGGGUUGCCCAACCCUAAAAACAUACCUGGUCUCCUGGAAAGAAGUGUCGUGGGCCAGAGGUGGGCAGUCUGAGGAGCCCACUGCUAUUUGAAGUCUCCCAGGGCUUUCCCAUCCUGCUCCAGGAAGUGGGACAAGGGUCAAAAUAACAAAGGGAGGGAGAUAACAAAGCCAGGGCUGAGGCAUUUCCAUCAAGCACUUGAUCCUUUACACACCACACCGACCAGUUUAGGAGAGACCUCUUCAAGGAAGGCAGAGGGCAGGAGUAAAAGUGAAGCCCGGGGCCCACUAUUUCCUUCCAAGCAUCAAAAAAUGUCUCUUUGGUUCCUUGAAACCAGAGAAGGGCCAGUUUCCUUACCCAGCCCCUGAGUGAGAGGACAAGGCUACCUGGCUCUGAUUGAAUGGCAAGGUGGGGCUAUGACUCAGGGCACUGGGGUCCUAGAGAGCUGUGAGUUCUGCAGUGGCAGGUGUGAACCACAAUAGACAGCCCCAGCCUCAGGUGUGAGUCUGCUCUGACCUUCCCCCUUCUGGCUUGGGGAUGUAGGAUAGUGGGAUAACAACCAUCUGUGGAAUUCAGAGGAAAUUCCCAACUUCUCUGUGGCCAAGAAAAAGAAGUUAUGCUGGCUGGGCGUGGUGGUGCAUGCCUGUAAUUCUAGCACUUGAAGAAACUGAAGCAGGAGGAUUGCUAGGAGUAGCAAGACCUUAACUUUAAAAAAAAACAAACGUGAGUGGUCAGGAAUGGAUGUGGGAAUCUACAUUUGGGAAUCACCUUCUCCAUACUCUGCUCCCAGGAAGGAGAUCUGUUGCCCACCUUCAUUGAAUCUGAAUCUGGGAUUUCUCUGUUCCCAACACUCCCUUCUCUGUCCCAGAGACCCUGUGGCUGCCCAUGUGACCCACUUUUUUGUUUUUGUUUUUUUUUUUUUUGGUGCCAGGGAUCGAACUCACAACCUCGCACUUGCCAGGCAGGCGCUUAUGCCACUGAGCUAAAUCCCCAGCCCUAUGUGUCCCACUUUAGAACAGGGUCACAGUGCUCGCUGGAAUAAAUCAGAAUCCAUCAUGAGAUCUGUCUUAGGGGUAUCAGUUAUCCUAAGAACUAUUAAAAUUACUCAAAAGUAUUGAAGGAGCUUGCCUGAGAAUGAAGGCACCCAGCUAAGAAGUAGAGAAACAACAUCAUGGAGUCACUGAGAUCCAGUGUGCCUGUUGCUACCCCUCUUUGACUUGGAACCCUAGUCCUCUAAAUGUUACUGCUGAAGUUCCCAUAGGUCCCCAGAUCCUGCUGUAUCCCAGUCUAAUUCCAGACCACAUCCCAGAUGGUGCGCUCAGUGAUACUCAGUCUGAGAGUCCUGGACCCAGACCACAUGACACCAACUCUGGCAGGGAGCCACCUGCUCAACAGAGUAUCCUGACAGCAGUGUCUGUUCAGCACAGUGGUGUCCUAAACAAGGCAUGAUGGUUUCAAGUGUCCCCCAGAAGUCUCAUGAGUUGGAGGUGGGACCUGAUAAGAAGAACCAGGUCACUGGGGGCCUGACAUGGAAGGAUAUAUUCUUGUCACCAUCUUUUUCUCUCUGCUUCCUGGCCACCAUAAGUUGAACUCCCCCCCCCCGACUUUUUACUGUGCUGUUUCUAUCUUGUAGUAAACAUGAACUGAACUCACUGAAAUUGUAAGCCCAAAUAAACUUCUCCUUUAAGUUGCUGUUAUGUAUUUUAUAUGUGUUACCAACAAUAAAAUGACUAAUGUACAAGGCCAAACUA